GCGGUAAGGCCUUUCGGGGUACACGAGCGGCGAACGGGUGAGUAACACGUGGGUGAUCUGCCCUGCACUUCGGGAUAAGCCUGGGAAACUGGGUCUAAUACCGGAUAUGACCUCCUAUCGCAUGGUGGGUGGUGGAAAGAUUUAUGGUGCAGGAUGGGCCCGCGGCCUAUCAGCUUGUUGGUAAGUAAUGGCCUACCAAGGCGACGACGGGUUGCCGACCUGAGAGGGUGACCGGCCACACUGGACUGAGACACGGCCCAGAUUCCUACGGGAGGCAGCAUUGGGGAAUAUUGCACAAUGGGCGAAAGCCUGAUGCAGCGACGCCGCGUGAGGGAUGACGGCCUUCGGGUUGUAAACCUUUUUCAGCAGGGACGAAGCGCAAGUGACGGUACCUGCAGAAGAAGCACCGGCUAACUACGUGCCAGCAGGCGCGGUAAUACGUUGGGUGCAAGCGUUGUCCGGGAUUACUGGGCGUAAAGAAUUCGUAGGCGGUUUGUCGCGUCGUUUGUGAAAACCAGCAGCUCAACUGCUGGCUUGCAGGCGAUACGCCAGACUUGAGUACUGCAGGGGAGACUGGAAUUCCUGGUGUAGCGGUGAAAUGCGCAG
rnacentral:rRNA from 1 species